AGUGAACGCUGGCGGUAGGCCUAACACAUGCAAGUCGAACGGCAGCACAGUGAGAGCUUGCUCUUACGGGUGGCGAGUGGCGGACGGGUGAGGAAUACAUCGGAAUCUACUUUUUCGUGGGGGAUAACGUAGGGAAACUUACGCUAAUACCGCAUACGACCUACGGGUGAAAGCAGGGGAUCUUCGGACCUUGCGCGAUUGAAUGAGCCGAUGUCGGAUUAGCUAGUUGGCGGGGUAAAGGCCCACCAAGGCGACGAUCCGUAGCUGGUCUGAGAGGAUGAUCAGCCACACUGGAACUGAGACACGGUCCAGACUCCUACGGGAGGCAGCAGUGGGGAAUAUUGGACAAUGGGCGCAAGCCUGAUCCAGCCAUACCGCGUGGGUGAAGAAGGCCUUCGGGUUGUAAAGCCCUUUUGUUUGGAAAGAAAAGCAGCAGGUUAAUACCCCGCUGUUCUGACGGUACCCAAAGAAUAAGCACCGGCUAACUUCGUG
rnacentral:rRNA from 1 species